rnacentral:rRNA from 1 species
GUGGUGUGACUGCGUACCUUUUGUAUAAUGGGUCAGCGACUUAUAUUCUGUAGCAAGGUUAACCGUAUAGGGGAGCCGAAGGGAAACCGAGUCUUAACUGGGCGUUAAGUUGCAGGGUAUAGACCCGAAACCCGGUGAUCUAGCCAUGGGCAGGUUGAAGGUUGGGUAACACUAACUGGAGGACCGAACCGACUAAUGUUGAAAAAUUAGCGGAUGACUUGUGGCUGGGGGUGAAAGGCCAAUCAAACCGGGAGAUAGCUGGUUCUCCCCGAAAGCUAUUUAGGUAGCGCCUCGUGAACUCAUCUUCGGGGGUAGAGCACUGUUUCGGCUAGGGGGCCAUCCCGGCUUACCAACCCGAUGCAAACUACGAAUACCGAAGAAUGUUAUCACGGGAGACACACGGCGGGUGCUAACGUCCGUCGUGAAGAGGGAAACAACCCAGACCGCCAGCUAAGGUCCCAAAGUCAUGGUUAAGUGGGAAACGAUGUGGGAAGGCACAGACAGCCAGGAUGUUGGCUUAGAAGCAGCCAUCAUUUAAAGAAAGCGUAAUAGCUCACUGGUCGAGUCGGCCUGCGCGGAAGAUGUAACGGGGCUAAACCAUGCACCGAAGCUGCGGCAGCGACGCUUAUGCGUUGUUGGGUAGGGGAGCGUUCUGUAAGCCGUUGAAGGUGUCCUGUGAGGGGUGCUGGAGGUAUCAGAAGUGCGAAUGCUGACAUAAGUAACGAUAAUGCGGGUGAAAAGCCCGCACGCCGGAAGACCAAGGGUUCCUGUCCAACGUUAAUCGGGGCAGGGUGAGUCGACCCCUAAGGCGAGGCCGAAAGGCGUAGUCGAUGGGAAACAGGUUAAUAUUCCUGUACUUGGUGUUACUGCGAAGGGGGGACGGAGAAGGCUAUGUUAGCCGGGCGACGGUUGUCCCGGUUUAAGCAUGUAGGCGGGAAGUUUAGGUAAAUCCGGACUUCUUUUAACGCUGAGGUGUGAUGACGAGGCACUACGGUGCUGAAGUAACAAAUGCCCUGCUUCCAGGAAAAGCCUCUAAGCAUCAGGUAACAUCAAAUCGUACCCCAAACCGACACAGGUGGUCAGGUAGAGAAUACCAAGGCGCUUGAGAGAACUCGGGUGAAGGAACUAGGCAAAAUGGUGCCGUAACUUCGGGAGAAGGCACGCUGAUAUGUAGGUGAAGCCCCUGCGGGUGGAGCUGAAAUCAGUCGAAGAUACCAGCUGGCUGCAACUGUUUAUUAAAAACACAGCACUGUGCAAACACGAAAGUGGACGUAUACGGUGUGACGCCUGCCCGGUGCCGGAAGGUUAAUUGAUGGGGUUAGCGGUAACGCGAAGCUCUUGAUCGAAGCCCCGGUAAACGGCGGCCGUAACUAUAACGGUCCUAAGGUAGCGAAAUUCCUUGUCGGGUAAGUUCCGACCUGCACGAAUGGCGUAAUGAUGGCCAGGCUGUCU